AAUUAAAUCAUAUUUAUAUCAAAUUUUGGUCUAAAUAAUAAAAUAUAUAAUAUUAAUAAGUUUCAUUUUUAAAAAUAAUAUAAAUUUUAAAAAAUUUAUCACUACGCAAGGUGUAGGAAAACACCUAGUUUAUGAUAAAAAAGGACAUGUUCUUAUCAUCGCGUAUGUGGUUAAGUAAACCUCUUUGCUUCUUACAACUUUUGUGAUGUGCCAUUUCAUCGCAUCUCGGAAAGCUAUCAUGGCGAAUCUCUUUUUUUUUUUAACACAGGAUUUCAUUGAUUAGACAAAAACAGUCCUCUCCACAAGAGGAGAGACUGGAAACUGAGUAUCAGACCUCAAAAGAGGCAUAAAUAAAGAAACAGUAAACUUUAAAACAAAGAAAAAACGAGUAAUAACUAAACAAGACAGUAGAAACUACCAGUAGGCAGCGAAGAAGAAAGCCCGCAUAGGGCAGGAGAUACAGCAAGCAAAGGAGAGCGUGUAGAGAGUAGGUACUUCAAGAAACAGCUCUCACAGCGACAGGAGCAGAGGAGUAAAAUCCCAUAGACUUGGUAAAAGCUUCCUUCUGCAACAGAUUAUGCAACCACAAAGGCCCAACAGAAGCCACAUACGAUUGAUGCCUAUUGUCCGAAGUUACACUAGUAGCAAUCGAGAGCACUGGCAGGUUUCGCAAAGUCUUAACGAAAUCAGCACUCCAAGCCUGGAAACCAUUCAGACGCUGGAGAAUUAAUGAUAUUAGAGCCUGAUGCUGGGGGAAGUGGUGUGGUUGCAACAAAGCUCGACGAAGGUCCAAAGACGAGGACUCAAAGAUUACAUUAUCCAGAUGAUGACUUGCGAGAGACUCCACAGACCAGAGAAGAGCAUUAAGCUCAGCAUCUAAGGCAGAGGCUAAACAGGGGAAAGCACGACGACUAUGCAUCACCACCCUACCAUUCUCAUCCCUCACAAACCAAGAAGCUCCACUCAAGACCGCAUUCUCCAACCAUGAGGAAGCCAGAUUGCAUUUCAACAAAGACGGAGGACGAUGAAUCCAAACUACAUUCUCAUUAGAGGCCAGUAUCGUAGGAGGGUCCAAAAUCUUGCUAGGAGCCAGUUUUGGAAUGCUUGUCUCCAAAUAUGUUACUUUCCACGGUGCACCCCAAUGAGAACCCUUGUCUGUUCUGUAUGAUGGAGAUGGUUGCAUUUGGUACUGGCUCACUGGUCACCGGAGCUGUUUAUGGCUCUGAUCCUCGCAAAUCAUUUUCCUCGUCAUGUUAAUGUUGAGAGUUACACUCUUUUGUGUGAAUGGUAACAAGACGCUAUACACCCAAAUCUCAGCGUUUAUGUAAAUAAGCCAGUAAAAAUAAUCAUUGAGCUACAUCUUGUGUCAAUUUUUCUGGGUUUUGGCUGCCAUGUAUGUUGCUUUCUCCUCUCUGUUAUGAAGAGAUGGGUGAAGCGUGAUGGUGUUUUCAGAUCCGGUGGCCCUCGUGCAGAUAUGGUGGCAUGGAGCUGUGGAUGAUUCUGGAAUUUAAGAACUGUAUUCUUCUCUGACU